UACGGGGGGGGUAAGCGUUGUUCGGAAUUACUGGGCGUAAAGGGCUCGUAGGCGGCCAACUAAGUCAGACGUGAAAUCCCUCAGCUUAACUGGGGAACUGCGUCUGAUACUGGAUGGCUUGGAUUCGGGAGAGGAAUGCGGAAUUCCAGGUGUAGCGGUGAAAUGCGUAGAUAUCUGGAGGAACACCGGUGGCGAAGGCGGCAUCCUGGACCGGCAUUGACGCUGAGGAGCGAAAGCCAGGGGAGCAAACGGG
rnacentral:rRNA from 1 species